UCCCCGCGGCGCAGGCAGGGCUGUAGGGGCUGGUUGUAGGAACGGCACGCUGCAUCGACCUGGUUUUGCCCCGUUCUCGUUGGAAACCUCGGCGGUGACCAGCAGAGAUCCACCCCACAGGAACCUGUGCAGCAAGACCACAACCAUCCAAAGGCGACUGACCUGGAACGAGCUGCUUGCUGGGAAAGUCAGCGCCGGGAACGGUGGAAAGGGGCCCGUCCGAGCUCGGGGAUCGCGUGCUGGGAACAGCGAGGGCUUGGGAAGGCGGGCGGCCACGUGGCGAUGCUCUCUCUCCAGGCCCACAGCUGGAAUCACCCGCUGGGCUGUUGUUCCCAUUGGGGACCAGCCCCGCACGGGGACACGCCAGCAGACACCAAAGGGCAUCGGAGCCCCACGGGGUGCCCGGCACGGCCCCCCGGCUCCGGGCUCACCUUGCACAGCCAUUCGGGCUGCAGGUGGGUUGGAGGAAGCGAGGCGGUGCAAGCGCCUUUUCACAACCCUGACCUAAGUGUUUCUCACACAGUCAGUAAUUAACGAGAUUUAUAUUUUAUGCUAAAAUUAGCUACCCAGGCAUUUGCUUCCCGCGGCGGUGCCUGAACACCUGUGCCAUCAGCUAAAUCUCUUCCUUCCAGCAGGGCGCAGGAGCUAUAACCGGGGUUUUACUCCCGCACACUCGCUCCCACCCUUCCCAGCGCCCCAGCCCGCAGCUGCCCGCGAUGGAGAGCAGGCAGGGAAGGAGCAGGUCCCGCACAGCUCCCUCCCGUGCCUCGUGCGGCUCCGCGGCUCGCACGGCUGCACCGUGGUGUUGCCCUGCUUAGAGAACAGAAAUGUAGGUAGCUGUGUUAGGUGAACACUCGCAUCGCUUCACGGUGUAAUGACAGCCAAACUAGGUCAAGCGCUAGCAAGCAUCCUUUAAAACAAGGGGAAAAAUAUCAGUGGGAGAAGUGAUCUCCCAGGGAAGAAAAUGUUUGUUGUCAUCUACGACACUUGGCGUGCACCGGGCAACCAGAAAAAAAUACGUAUGUAUACACACAUAUCCACAUCUUUUCACAGUUCAAAUGGCAGAUCGUGUUGGGUUUUUUUCAGUUUAAGGGACACUGAUGUACCUUGGACUAGAGCGAUUUCCUCACACGCAUUUCAUACUCCAUCUCCAACCCAAAAGGAGUUUCCACCUAUAACACUCUUAAAAUGUAAUCUGGUGGCCAGCUCUUGGUGCAGGCUGCGGGCGACUUUAUUCUAUUUCAUGGUCGCUCUGCCAUGAAUAAGAGCUCUUCUUCUGCUCAGCUGAGAAGCAGGAGCACGGCCGGUAACAGGAUCCCAGCCCUGCCGGUAAAGGCAAUUUGACGCUGCUCGCUAAAAGGGGAGAGGGAGGUAAAUUAAUUUCUAUUACAGAGGACAGGCUUCCUCGGAAGAUGGGUGCUUUCUACCGGAACACAUCACGCGUCGCGAGCUGGGCACCUGGAGGGGAACACGAGGAAAUGGAGGCGGUGGUGGCUUGGUUCAGCUGGAGAGCGGCCGCGUGUGUCCCCGACGGCACCGCGCUCCCCGUGGAGCUCCCCGGGUCCACUGUGGAGCAACCGGACGGCUCCCAGGGGAACUGGAGCGGCUGGCCACGGCGCAGGAGGUUUGGCAAGUGGCAGCACACGGCCACGCGGGCCGGUGGCCUGGCACCUCGGGGGCAGCCACGAGAUGGUGAGGGCGAAGCGGUGAUCCUGGGCGCGCCGCAGUGGCACAGGUUCGUGGCAACUGGGAGCCGGGUAACUCUAAACUCUCGGUGAAGAGCAUCCUCACACCUGGUUCAGCACGCCAGAUAAAGCCUCUGCUCCUGUAAAACCUGCGCGAUUAUCAGCCAAGGCCAAGGUAUUUACCCCAAACUGGGUAAUGUCGUUUGAUGGUUCUUAAUAGCUCAAAGCGCCGAUGCGCCGAGCUGAACAGACGCUGCCGAGCAGCUCCUCAGCCGUUCCCCAGGACCGCGUAGGCGCUGCUGAAUCCCGAAGCUGAUCACCGUGGCAACGGCUCUAAACAUAUGUGCGGUGACAUCAGCUGGGUGCUGAAAGCUGUAAAUAGAGGAUAAUAGCACGAAAAAAAAAAAAAAAGAACGGGCGGGGAGCCAAGACCUAAAAAACAUACUAUUAAAACACUGCCUGUAAUUCAAUGUAUGCAAACUUGUUUGCGUCCUCGCUCCCCCGAACCUGGGUAAUUACGCACCUAACGGCACAACUGGCUGAUUGUCCUAGCGCGGGCUGCCCACACUUCAAGGAGUAUCCCAGGAACUCGGGCCUAGUGGAAACCCACCUUCAAAUUUCAUUUUAAAAUUUCGUUUUAAAGAUCGCUCCACCCAGCGUGAAAUAAGGCUAAAGGGAGUCGGGCGGAAGACGCUCCGCCUGCUUAAGGUCUCUGCUUAAGGCCCGUGAGCAGUACCCCCAACUUACCAGAGCUAUUUGUAAAUAAAGCCAUUCCCCUGGACUGGUGAAAAACAACCAGAGUGCUCCCGGUGUUUAUCGCUGAUGAACGCAGACGGGAAGCAAAGCGCUGCUUUGCAUGAACGGGAGCCAUGGCACAACUCGGUUCUGAGGUCGUGCUGCAGGCCCCAUGCCCUGGCCAAGAGGAGGAGAAGCAGGAGCAGGCACAUGUCUGCGGGACAGGAUGGGACAGGAUGGGACAGGAUGGGACGGGAUGGGACGGGACGGGACGGGACGGGACAAGCUCACUCCUCAAAGACCGUGCGGACAGCGUGAAGGGGCCGCGCAUCCCACUGGCCUCACGCUCGGCACCUCGUUUGGAUCAGUGCUGCUGUUCAGGGAGUCCUUCAACCAGCCGUCAGGGUAGGACACGGGGACAAAAUGCUUUUGUUUCCCUCGCUUUGUUCGACCCGUACUUCUGCGAUCCGCUCUGAGGGAUGUGGCCUGGGCAGCGCCAGGAACCUCAGCAGCGCCUCCGCGUUCAGCUGGCACUCGGGGAGGGGGAGAGGGGAGAAAUGGGCUUAAUAGGAUUUGCAAAUGUCAAAAAAUAUCUUUAACAGGCCCAUUUAUGCCGAGCCUCAGUGCUCGCUGAACUCCAAAGCAAAUCCGCCGUGCCCAGCACACGGCCUGCAUGCAAAGCGGGCGCCAGCAGCGCUCUGGCGGCACGGAGCAGCUCUGCUCCGUGGGGAGAGCCGGCUGCCGGGGUCGUCACACGAAGAAAAGCAGGCGCCAAAAUCCCUCACCAGGCACGGUGAAGGCCCCCAAACGUACCUGAGGGGUGUGUGUGCGUGUUAGGCCUGCUAAGAGAAACAGAAGGGAGCUGCUCCUAAAGCCGGGUGCUCGCAAAGCGAGGCGCCCGCCUGUAAAGGGAUGGCAAAGCAAGCUCCCCUUCCCUGGGAAGCGCCCUACUUUGCAAAUAAAAUAAAAAAUAACAAGGUGAGGGAAACUGCAAACCCAAACCUGACAGCUGCAGUAGAAGACGGAUGCAGCAAGGAGCCAGCAGCAAAAACUUCCCCCUCCUUUCUUUUCUAUAGAUAUCUUUCUUUUCUGUCAAUUAGAGUUGCAAGGAAAUUCAGAGAAUCGAGAUCAGCAGUGUUAAUCGUUAUUGCGUGUGAAUUUAAUUAGCAUUAUUUUUUAACUACAGGUAAUUUACUGCGGCUCACCUAAAUGAGAAAGUCGGGUAGUGCCUUCUGAUCAGCAGAAAACCGCUAAGCAAAAGAUAAUCCUGCUCCUUGCUCUAUGCCCUUAAUUUCCGUAAUCCACGGUUACCAAUUUCAGCAGCGACUGCCAUGGUUACUCCCCAGCUCCUUGCCGCGCGCGGUGCUGGAGCGGCGGCGGCUCUGCCUCGGUGCCAAGAACAGCACGUGCACCUUCCUCCCUGCCCUGCAAGACAAGCGCCCGGGCAGGGCGAGGUCUGCGUGGGGCAGGGGAAGGAGGAGCCGUGCCAGCGGGGUGACCAGCGCCGGGUGCUGCGUCCCCUGCCCGAGGUCCCUGUCCCCCGAGGCAGUGACCAGCCCCUGCAGUCCCGUGGCUGAGACCCGCGGAGCUCGGCGGGAUCCAAGCUUCUCCCAGGGGCUUUCUCGCACAAGCCUUGGGUGCGAGCAGCCCGCUUGUGCCCCUCUCCGAAGAGGAGCCGGCCGAAAUCUCACAGCGUUUUGAACCUGUUUUCUAAGCUGUCCAUCUCCGAGACGCGAAGGAGACGCUGCUGGGCUGCGGGACAAUGAGGCAGAGCUCUCAGGAUGGGAAGAAGCAAAUCUGGCACCGCAACUCGCCAGAGCUGGGCUGCAGGAGGGACAGCGGCAGCGCCCGGGUGGCUUCAGCAGAGGCCGGGGAGGGACCGAGCUGUCCCCAGGCGCAUAAGGUCCCAUCGUCCCUGAGCGCAGCCACCGGGCAGCACCAACGAACGAUUUAACACAUUUUAUGCGCUCCUACCCUGUGAAAGCCUUCCUACGCCCAGAGUUUGCAAGUCCAAGUUAACAACGCCGCACCCGGGGAUAGCGGCGACACAUCAGAAAGCCACACGCAACCCAGCAGGCGCCCUCCGUUCAGGGAGCCCAGCCUUGAAAAACCAACGCUGAACACCCUCCCUGCCCUGCGCAAACUGGAGCACACGUGCCCAAGAUAAACAACAUCACGGGGCAGGCAAGCCAGUUACUCACGGUUUAUCGCAGCAUCGCCCCAUCUAAUUGCAGAGCUACGUGGUCAGUCACUUUAAUCCGCUGUAAGCAGCUUACGCUUCCUUAGGUAGCUCGGUGACAUUGCUCACUUCCUGAUUCGGAAAUAACAAUUCUCUACGUCUUGCUCUAAAAGGUGUGAAAACCGCCAUUCCCACAGUAACCCUGCACAGAUUUGGGGACCCGCAAGGGGCACACGCAGGUGAGUGGACUCCCAGCAGAGGGUCCCAGCUCCCACCCACCCCCCUUGCUCGGUGCCGAGCCCGCAGAGGGCGUUCUGCUGGGGAGCACUGCUCUGAAGCCAAGACCAAGAGACUGGACAAACUUUGCCAGCAGCCUAUCACAUCAAAAUGCGUUCCUAAUCUUACCUCGAAUCACACCCUUCAACAAAAGCUGUUCCUGGUCUUCUUUCACCAAAUUCAGCUAUUCCCUGCGAUACCACCGGCAUUCAACUUCUCCCGGUAGCCAGGCCGGCCGUGCUCCAUGGCCACGCUCAAGGACCCGUCCUGCCUGCACACGGCUCCUGCGACCGCUGUCCUCCUGCCCAGCCACUGCUCCCAUUUCCCCACGAGGGCACGGGGCCGAGGAGAGGCCACCCGGAGGGGCAGGACGCUGGGAGCACUGGGAUGCCACACGACGAGCACUGGGCUGCCCGCAGCAUCCUCGGCGCACACCCCACCGCUGCCAGCCGCGCGCUCUCCAUUUAUCCCCUACUGCUGGGGACGGGGCGCCACAACCCGCUCCAUUUCUGGACGGCGUUUCAUACUUCCAAAUUCUACCAUAGCAGUUCUUUGAUUUUUCUGCGUUGUGUUUUCAAAAGCCUUGCUGGUACCCACACAAAUAGGCAUAAAAAGCUGCAGCAGUCCGAAAAAACAUCCCCACGAUUACAGGGGAACCCGUCCCUCCCCACCCCAACCCUGGAAGAGCAAAAGCACAUUUUGGAUUUUCCCCCCAGCUACGCGGAGCAGCAGAGGCCACAGAACUCAUCUGAAGGCUCCGGGGAAGGACACCAACCGUUGGGUUGUAGCAAGCUUUCCUCCCCGCUCGAAAACAACCGCUGCUGAAAGCGAAAGCUCGCACCCCGCGGGGCCGCGCGGCUCGCGUGCUGCCGCAAAGGGGAUUUUUGCGACUUGCAACACCGGAGAACUUUACCCGGGCCCUACCAGUGAACUUCGGCCGCUGACCCCAAGUCAAGCUUCAAAACCAUUCCAGAUACCGGACCAGACCAAAAGUCAUCGGCCGACAAGGCCUGCCUCUGACGGCCCCAAACCCGUGUUUGGGGAGACCGUGGGGCGAAACCCUUAUUGCAAGCAACUUUCUUAAGCUCGACUCAAAAAUUUAUUUUACCGGCUGUAAAAUUCAUUUGUGCAGUUGCGCACCCCGGUAGGCUUGAAUGGGGCGAAGGAGCGUCUCAACUCCCAGCGCAAUUUAUUAUUUAAAAGCAGUAAAAUUACAUUGCUGAUAGGAGAGCCCGGGCUGAGAGCAGCGGUGAUGUAAUGGGCACUGCAGCGCCUCGCGCCGUGAGCCGCUCGGUACAUUAGCGUGCUGGCUGGGGUGGUUGCUCCUAUCAAUUAUUUAUAGUCUUCUGGCGCGCAGCCUGGAGAGGGUCACAUCGCUGAAAGCUAACUUUAUCUUCAUUGUUCCCAGCCUCCUGCCCAGCUGUCACUCCGCUCGCUAAUUUAAUACGCUCAGAGCAGUGUAAAAGGACGCAGGAUUUUUGUUCCGCUCCGUCCCUCCCCUCGCUGGCACACGGAGGUGCGCUCUCGGCGGGCUCUGGAUCCGCGGGGAGCCGUAACCCCGGGUAAGGCACGGACCCGGCCCCCGAAGCCUCCGUCUGGGGCUGCCCCUGCCAUGGGAUGGCCGAGCCGUGGCGUGCCCUGCGCCCUGCACGUGGCUGCCUGCUGCGUCCCACAGCCAGGGCUUCUCGACGCCGUGCGUCAUGAGGGGAAAAGGAGAAGGCUCGCGUCGGCUCCCCAGAAAGAAAUGGACAAGAAAAGGAAAAAUCUCAAAUUUUGCUACGAUGCGGCCGAUCCCCGCCCUGCACGGCCCCACGCCAUGCCCAGCUCAGAGCCUCGCAAGCUGCUACCCCUAAAACCGUCGCUUUUCCACCCAGCACACAAGAAAGCCGCUCGGCGAGGCUCCCGAGGCUCCGGCUCGCCAGCACGCCUCUUCCCCUGCUCACCACAGAACUCCGUUUAUCAGGGCCACUUCUGGAACCUGCUUUCAAACGGGCUGCUCCUUUGGGUGGACAUCACCAUGAAAGCAGCUCGGUGUGAACACGGUGUGUCCCCAGGACAUCGCCCAGCAAAGCCCCGGCGCACGGAGACCUGCGCUCGGCCCGUCCACCGACCAGCUUGGUCGGCAUCCCAUACAUCACCCAGGCACCUGCCCCAUGCCUCCGACUGCAAGAAAAGCCCAGCUCCAGCUUGAGCAAUGGGGCGCUUCUCAGGUCUGGCCAGGCGGUCUUAUUUUAAGCCAUGAGAAGCAUCCAGAUCUGGCUCAGACGCAGAAGACCAUUCUGAUGACAACAUCUGAAAACACCACGCAACGAUUUCGUGACAAACACCACCUUUGCACAAAAAGGAAGUUGUUGAGAAAAAAGCCAGCACAGGCCCGGAGGAAGCGGGUUUGUUUGCCCCUCUGGGGCACGAAGAGGGGCCGCAGAAGGGCUCUGCACAGCUCCAGCCCCGCGCCCCACCAUGGCACAGGGAACGGCACCGACGGCCACGGGAAAUGCUGGGGCCGGGGGCAGAGCAGCUCCAGCAGUGAUGGGGGACAACAGCCCUUCUGCACUACCUGAAUCGGGAGAAUUCUGCCCAAAACUCUGAGCUGUGGGAAGCUGCACCAGCCGCGGGAGCAGCAAGCUGGUUCCUGUCCCCGGACCGGCACCACGUCGGGAAAAAAGCUUCCGAGCAGGAGCCGAGCCCCGCGAGAGGCAGCCGGGCUCCGCUCCCACCGGGCUGGUUUCGUGUGGGGCUGUACGUAUGCUCCGAAUCCAGGAUUAUUUCCAUGGCAACUAUCUUGAGAACUUAUUAAGUAAAAAAACAAGAACAGUUUGAACACACAGAACCUACAUUUGUAACGUACGAGCUGACUAAAUUAGCAGCGCGAAGAUUUUUAGUAAUCAAAAUAGAUUAUGUUCUAGCAGCCCCAUCUCCUCCUUACCAGAGCUAAAGAGAAAAAUCAGACAGUAAUAUCGAUGGGGGGAGGUCGCAGAUGUUGUAAGACCACGGCCCUCUAUCAAGCCAAGCCUUACCCCAGGUAAGAGACAUUAACCAGUUCAAGGGCCGUUAGGUAGGGCUGAGUUUCCGAGGGACGACAGACUUUGUCAGAACCAAACCGCGGACCGCCACGCGACACGAGGCAGUUACCUAGUGCAAAAGUUCAUCGAAUCACCCCAAAACGGCACAGAAAAGGCAUCGUUUGCAGCCCGGCCCUCCCGGGCCAUGCGCAGCACCGGGUGUCGCCGCCUCCUCCAUCGGGUGGCACCGGCACCGCUGCGCACAGCACGGCGGCAGCGGGGGCACGACGCCACCCAAGGGGAGGGCUGGGGGAAUCAGAGGAGUUCUGGAAACACCUGGGAGCUAACGCUGCCGGUGAACGCGGUAUCGACUCGGAGCGAGAUGUCGGUCAGCCUCAACGGGAGUGAUCCGGAGAGGGCUUUAAAAAGAAGCGGUUAAAUGAGCUGUUGGCUCAGGCCAGCCGGGGAGGCUCUAUGCAUUAUUGAUUUACCUUCGAACAACUUGGGAGCUCAUUUCCAAUGGUUUCUAAUGGAACCUGGAUUUUUCUCAGUGCUAAUCUGCCUCGUGAGGUCAAGCCUCCUGCAAGGAAAUACGAUGGCACGGCCCUAAGAUGGCAGCUGUCAGGUGUACCACGGCCCCGUUCACUUCACGGAGACGGUGCAGCGGCGACGGGGUUUCAAGGCUGCUCCAGGAGGCUCUCAGAAUUAAACGGAGUGGUGAGAACACCAGGGUGGAGAUGGCCUUGCGAGGGCCCAGAGAUAACGCUGGAGAUCUGCAAGUCCAGGGAGUCAUAACAACAGAGGAAGGUUAUGAAAAGUUUAUUUUUGCCGCCCCAGCCUGCGCACAGCACCCGUAGCCCUUCCGGAGGCGAUGCUGAUGAGCGGUGUGAGCAGAGAGGAGGCAGUUCGGAGGCGCAGCUCCGUUGCCUGCUCAGCCACGAACGCACAAAACGUUUGGGCAAGUCAGAUCUUCAGCAACCGCAGCUGCAGGACACGCACAGUAAUGCUUUGGUUUCUAUUCUUAGCAAGGCACGGAAUCGAGACAGCAUAGCAUAUGUACAGUCAGUAAACAAUUCUUCCGUAUGAUAAUCAAAGCCAUUCGAAAAUAGUAAAUUUCCAUCUGAACAAGCGAAGAUCCGCGCUCACCAGGGUGUGCAGGCCCCAGCCCCGUCUGCACGCGGCCAGGGGCCAGGCGAGGACCAGGUCAGGCCGUGCAGGAUCCGGCCGAUGGCCCCAGCGGGUCCCGGCCCCACCGGGAGCUCAGGGGCAUGUCCCGAGCAGGAACCCGCAACCCCAAAUCUGCAACCCCAAACCCACAACCUGUCACAGCAGCAAACGCUUCUGAACGCAGGGAAAUGCCUUCUCCUCAGUGAGACACACACACAGGCCAACGCUGCAGCAGGCUCAGCUUCUGAAACGUUGGUCUGGUUUGUUUUUUUAAAUAGGUGAUGAUAUUCCUUUAUCUACCCAAAGUUAAAAGGAAAAUAUUUCUUCCCAACCUUCACAGAAAAACAUUUCUUUAGCACAAAACCAAGCAGGGAAUAUUUAGCCCUAAAGGAGGCUUCCAGAAAGGCGUGAGCACAGAGAACAGUAGCUAGUGGCAGGAAGGAAAUUGUAACAUUAGCUGCAGACCGACUCCACACGCAGCUCUGCACCGCUGCACACAGACAGGGAGCAAAACGCUCGAUGCCAAAGAGCAAAAAACAACAUUUGAUCCUCAGCUCAGAUAAUUUCAAAAUCCAUCCGCAAAUGCAUCCUGCCUUACAACAAAUGAAAACCAGGGAGCGAUGGCUACGCAGCAAUUAACUGCAGCCGCUGGCUCUGGUGUUGGCAGCGUCUCGCCGGAGAACGAGACCGGCGGUGGACGCAGCCGGCCGCCUGCAGGCACCACCGCGCGCAGCCCCGAGCGCGACGCUUACCGCGGCUCGAAGUGCGCCUGGCUCCGUCCUCCCCUCCCCUUCUGUCCUGCUCCUGCUCCUGCUCCUGCUCCAGCUCCAGCUCCUGCCUGCAGCCAGGCCCCCGGCCGGGCGCGGGGACCGUGCCAAUGUCAGCGUGACCCCACAGCCGCCGCCGCGGGUCACUUUGCGGGGUCACGGCGCCAAGCGGAGCGGGACGCACGGCGCCCACCUCGCCCCGCGGACGGGGCCGCCCCGGCGCCGCACCUACGGCCCGCGGCAGGGGGAAGAUCGCGCGUGAGGGGCUCCGAGCACAUCUGGCAAAUCGAGUUCCAGCGUCGUCGGGUUUUUUUCCUGCUAACGGAGCGCCGGCAGCAGAGCCGGCAGGAAGUUCCAAAGACCAUCGGCGCGCACCCGCAGGGCACCCAGUGCCGGUAAGGUGACCCCCGGCUGCGCCGAGCAUCAGUCACUCGCGGCAGUGUCGCUUACUGCGCGAGGGGAGCGGGUGACCUGAAUGUCUCCUGCAAGAAUAAUCGCCCGCCGAAGGUGAGGGCUAACGCCUCGAGAGGGGCCGCGGCUGCCUCCUGGGAGGGCGAUGCUGCCGCCCCGGGGAAGGAGCCUUCGAAGGACCCGCGGCUGCUGCACGGAGCUCCCAGGGGCGGCCAUCGGGGAACUCGGCGCCGCCUGGAAACGCAGCCGGACUUCUCCUCUUGACCAAACCACGCUCCCCGAAGGAUGCGCCCCCGGUGAAGGGAGGCUCCAAGGCAACGGAAUGCAGUUUGCUGGAAAGAAAGGGGAAAGCUUCAAGCCUGACAUAAGCCAGGGCUCGGAUUCCUCCCCAGCACCGUCGCUGCGCCGCAGAUAAGGCUGCGUCAACUUUUCCAUUCCAACGCUCUCCCCUCUAAGGUUCACAGUCAGAGCGAAAACGUUUUGGUCAGGUGGAAACUUCACACGCAGACUCCCAGGCCAGGGAGCCGCCGGCAUAUACAAAGCCCUUCGUUCGGUGUAACCCACCGAGAUGUGCUUUCCCUGCACUGGGAAGGGAAAAGCUCGCCUCUCCCCCAUGAAAUUCCUACCAUUCCUGCACGGCAGAUAACCCCGCAGCCCGCCUCAUUCCCAGCGGCAGCCCCGCAACGCCCCCGUGACGAUGGCAGCGCGAGGUGCUGGGGCACGAGCAGGACAAACCUGACCCAGCAGCGGCCGCGCGAUGGAGGCACCGCGACCUGGCCCCGGCUCCUGAGCACCCCAACCCCACGUCACCGGCCGGGCACCGUGCUCAGGCCCGAGACGUGGCUUUGGAGAGGAGGAAAGGCUCCGACCACGCGGGUUUCUCACCCACAGCUCCCACCGGGGGCUGCAGGAAGGGGCAGGAAGCGAGGUGCAAGCCGGUGCCCCGGAGCAGCGGGGUGCAGCUCCCUGCGCUGCCGCGCGUGCCGCAGGCUCCUCCGGGAACACUUCCCUGUUUUUGCACUGUGACGGAGCGGGAGCCAGAAAACCCAGCGCGCAGGCUGCCAGCUCACAGCCGUGUGCCAUAUUUUCUUUAUCUUUUUUUUUAUUAUUUUUUCUUUUUUGAGAUUCUCCAUUUUUAAGGAAGGCGCUGAUGUCUGCGGCCAGGGGCUGCCGGCGGUGCCCGGGCGCCCGUCCCCGUGCCGGCACCGCACCGCGCGCUGGGGCCGUGCCGGGGCCUGGUGACGUGCGGGGGGGAUGGGGAGGUAUUUCGGUACCAGCGAGCGCCGCGGCCACCCCCCCCUCCCCCCGCACGCUUCACUGCAGUUAUCCCUGAAGACAGAAAAAUUUGUGCUUGUUUUUCCACUGCUGCUGCUGCUGAGCAGCUAGGAAAUAUCUCCCGCUACGGAGAGCCGGAUAAAGCCCUGGCUCCCGGAGCAGCAGCAGCUGAAAGCAGCUUCCCCCACCACCAUCCCCAUCGCAAUUUCAAGACCUUGAAUUUACGGAGGCUGGAGUGAAAGCGACAUCGGCGCGCUUGCCAGCCGCGGAGGAGCUCUGAGCGCUGGCGGUUUAUCACGUUUCCCCCAGCAGAUACGCGCCGGGGAGCUGCCUGCGCCGGCCGGGACUUAUCGCAAGGCCGGGUCGCAGCCGCUUCCUCCCUCCCUCCCUCUCUCCCCGCGAGCUCCGGGACCCGUCUGCGUUCGGCCCCCGCGCACGCGGCCGCCGCCAGCCCGCAGCGCGCCUUCCGGGGCAGCCGUGCUCAGCCAAGGGCUUGGAGCAAGCCCGGGCUUCUCUAUUUACCAAGCUCAAAUGAAAAAAAAGAAAAAAAAACAUGUUUGGAAGGGAGAACAGCCCGGCCGCGUUCUUCUUCCUCUGUUAGACCUUGGGGUGCCGGAGCACGGCGCAGCUUUCGCCCCCCAACGCCGCUCGCGUGCCCUGCGCGGGGCUGGAACUCCCCCCUGCCUGCGGCGCGGCGCAGAUGCCCCGCUGCAAACCAACUUUGUUCUUUCUGGAGGGAACAGACAGAUUGCAGGAGAAAACUAUAUCCCAGCCGCUGCCAAAUCCCACAGAUUUAGUUAUUAGUAGGCAAUUAGGAGCCAUUAUUAACGCUUCCUACUACGUUAAGCUCCAUUUGCACCGCAUCUCUGCGCCAGCCCGGACGUCGCAGCCGGAGCCGCUCUCCAGCCCCGCGGCGCACGUGGGGCCACGGGUGGAAAACAGCGUCCUCCUGCCCACGUCUCCCGGCCCCGCAGAUGUAUUUAAUGCACUUGUCUAGCAAAAUAAAAUCGUAAGUAAAAAGACAGAGAUUAGAAAAGGGGGGGAGGUAAACAAGAGUGCCGCCGCACAAAGGAAAAACAAUUUUGCUCUUGUUUUUUAGCUCACAAUCAACAUCGAAGCUAUUCAGGAAACUGGUGCACUGCCCUCCAACCAACUUCAAUUAGGGAAUUCAAAAGCAGCCAGACAAAGGAAUGCCUGGGAGUUACUGCACCGCACCGAGAUAUUUUUAGCAAGAGCUGGGAGGCUGUUUGUGGGACACUGCUUUGCUCCCGCUGCAUUCAGCCUUUGUAUUUACAUUCGCAGGACAGCUAAGAUUUACUAGGUCAGAGGGAAGGAGAGACAAGAAGCCGCGUGCGCGGUUCCGAUCGUUUUGCUUUCUGACGCUCUCGGAAGGUAUUUCGGAGAAAUCUGGUCGACUCCAGGGCGAAACAGAACGAGCUUUGCCUCCAUCCGCCUCAGAAGCAGCCCCGAGUCGCUCCUUUCCAAAGGGCGCUUCCAGCUGCGGUGCUGCUGCCCCUGGCGAGCCCAGAGCCCAGCCCCGGCCGUGUCCCCCCCCCCCCCUCCGGGUCAGCAGAUGCCAGUCAGAGCCCGCAGAGCGGUGACACUCGGUGACACUCGGUGACACUCCUUGUGACACUCCUUUCGAGGCAGGCCACGGGCUUUGUCGCGGGAAGACAAUCGCCAAAAACAAAGGGCCACAGGAGUCGGCCAGAUCCCCGAGCUGGAACGAGGCUGGAGCUGGAAUACAUUUUCCGAGGGGAAGAGCCCCUCUCCGAUCACCCCUGCGCACCGAGGGCUCCACCAGGACCCUACGAGACGAGCUCAGCAGCUCCGGCAGCAAGCGGCGGUGCCGGAGCAGUCAGACCGCCCUGCUCACCCAGGGAUCGUCUCCGAGGCAGAGAGCAGUGCAGGGACGUGGGGAGUUUCCAGCAGCCCCUGCGGAAGGCGCUGAGCCCCCGGGAGUGCACAGGGCUGCCCGAGGCAGGGGUAACCAGAGGCUGGAUGGAGCCCGAGGACGGUGGCACCGCACGGCAGGCGCCCGCGGCACAGCGGCGUCGGCUGCUCAGGUGGCACUGGGACGCCGCCCGUCCUCCUGCCCCUGCUGUAACAACCGCUAGGUUCAGAUGGGUGCUGUAAAGCUCUAAUUAACACCACGCGCUGAGCAGAGGCUUCGAACUCUCUGUAAUUUACCCCUUCACGUGCCAGCCUUACAGCACGCCUGCUCAUCCCGGUGGAGCAAGGCACCAAAAAGAGCCUGUGCGGGGCCGGGAGCCGUGCCCAGGUCCAAGCUCUCCGUCCCUGCGCCCCGCAGCCCCCCGACGCCACCCCUGCCCAUGGGGGAGGUCUGCAAGGGCGCAGUCCCUGCAAGCGGCCAGGCACGUGGCCGUGGGUCCAGCUGCACCCCGACAGCAGGUACACGUCCCCGGGCUGCGGGAACACGGUGCGGGCACUGCUCCUGAGGGCAUCUGCCCAGCCCUGAGACCGGGCUGUCGUCCUGCCGAAGGGAUUCCCUCUUCUGCCCUCGCUGCUUUUCAAAAAGCUGGGAGGGAGGAAGGCUCCUGAAGUCAUCUCCGACCCCUUCUAUAACAACCCCGGUGAUCUGCCCACUGCAACGGGCGCCGAGCAGCUCUGCACCCCAGCUUUACACCGUCCGAGUAAAUCUGACUCAAGCGAAAGCUCGGGGACCUGCCGGCUGCUCCUGGUGCAGGCAGCGGCUUCGUGAAAACCCCCCUGGGCAGGCAGAGCUCGGGCACGGCUUUGCAUGUGCCUGGGAUUAACCCCGACAAACGAAACGUUUUCUUAACUGCUCAAAUCCCACGCCCUGGGUACGUGCGGAGCCGUGCGCUGAUCCCCAGAGCCCCAGGCUGAUGUUAGAGGUGGCCGCCCUGCCCCGGGGUGGCUGCAGGUGGCCGCGGGGACAGGCGGGCUCGGGGCAGGGCAGGUGGCACGCCAGGAAGGGAAAGUUCUUGUCGAGCGCGAAACCAUUUCCCUGCCCCGCUGGAGGAAACCUGGUGCCUGUUCAAAGACACCGGGCUUCGCUUCUGAGGGUGCAAGAGACUAAAAAUAAUCUUUAUUUUUAAACUGCUUAGCGGUCAUGGGAUCAAGCAGAACAAAAGGAGAAAUCCGCUCGGAGGGGAUCGAUCCUUCUGGGGCUCAAGUGGCACACGGGGCCCCCAGGAGCAGCAGCUGGGUGACGGGCCCGGGGGAAGCAGGGCUGCACCCUACGAGUCCUGGGGUGAGCGAACCGCGGGGUCCUGCGGCGGGCACCUUGCAGAGUCUUACGAAGUCUUACGCAGCCUUAAGGGAGAUACUUGAAGUAAGAACAGCAAAAAUAGGAAAUAAUUCAAACUAAUAAAAUCAAUCAUUUCCAAGGCCAAAAGGAUUUGCUGCAAUCAUCUCAGCCACCAGCCCAACAGGCGACAGAACUCCCCACGCUGUCUUCUUUCACGUUCUGCUGAUGCAAACCGACCACAGCAGAUACAAAGCCUGCAACCCGUCCAGCCACCCGCAAAAACCAGGCGCCGAGGGUCCUGAGCGUGCUUUGACAUCACGUGGAGACCGCUGCCUUGAUGCUUGCUCGUCACAUCGCCGGCACCCGUGGUCACUUCCUAGGGGACGCAGUGGGAGGCCCCCGGGGUGCCCCGAUGACGCUGCCCCCACCGGGGACAGGGCCGGACUGCAGGGUGCAGGUGCUCUGCAGACUGCGACCACGAGUGGCCGAGCAAACAGCUCUUGGGCUCUUGGGUUCUGGCGUGGCCGUGGCACCAGCUCCUGGUGAAGCCACGGUUCAUGAGAUCGUUCUCCAGUUCUGCACACGCAUCCUGCCCCGAAGUUCGGCUCGGCGAGCGCACGGGCAGGGGAGAGCAGAAAAAACAGAGUGGACGAAAACGAGUGAUCGUGGUCCAUGUGAUCAAAGGGCACAAGCACCGCAGAGACAAUCUGCGUGCUGCCCUUCACAACCGGGCAGCCGCACCGACCAGAUGGGGCCUUAAAUGGGAUUAAGAGGAAGACGGCACGACGACAUCCAGCCCCUUCCUCCGGGGCUGGAAACUCGCCCCGCUCGCGGCCGAGGAAGGCUCCGCCGUGGGGAAGCAGCUCUCUGCUUUUGCCUUCUUUGUUCUUCCCAGCCGCUUCCUCCCUCCUGGUUACCUUACAAACCUGCCAUCUCUGGCAAUUCCUCUUCUCCGGCAAGUCUUUGAGGUGCACAUUAUACAAGAUACACAAAAAUAAAUUGUUUUUAAUCCUCCAGACUCUAGUGCUUCCAAACAAGGAUCUUAAAGAGCUUUACAAACAAUGGAUUAAGCCUUAAGACUCCCUGUGAGGUAAGAAAGUGCUGCUUGUACAGAAGCAGAGGAAGGUGAGCGAGGCUGAAGGGUGAAGGAAUGCAACCCCAUAAGCAGUGCAGAAGCGCCCUGCUUCCGCACAGGCGGGCACGCGCUGGUCUACCACCGAUCCAUCAUCCACGCAGAGAUACCUUUGCCUUUUCGCUCCAGACUCUGCAGGACUGAAGGACACCGUGCAUCUCUCAAACACCAAACGCACGUUCCCACCUUUGACUAUCAGGACUGCUGUUACCAACGCGUGGCCAGACGCAGCCCUGCAGGCUGCAGCAGCCCCGUGGGUCCCUCCUCGGCGACUUUCAGGCAGCUCACCGGGUGCGACCCGGCGGAGGAAGGCACCUCCUGCCUCGCUCCCCAGCCUUAGGGCAACGGGGGGGGGUGGGCACGGGCUCUGCACCCUCAGACUGCAACCGCCACGCAUCCCUCGUGCGCAUCCCGGCCUGGGAAGCCCGUACGCUCCUUCCCAAAUAUAUUUUGCAUACAUCUUGUAAACAAGUUUUACAUCCUUUUGAUCAGCUCUGCAGACGGCUUGUCCACGAGGCGAGGAGGGGGAGGGAGACUUCCUGUUCCAGCGCUGCAACCGCUCCGAGCAACGCGCUGCGUGCGCUCAGCUCCUGCCCGCCCUGCGAGCAAUGAGGAAAUUUUCUAUUUUGGUGGCUUUUUCAUCAUAUAGACGUAGCAAACAGGCUGCGCUCCAGUCCAGCACCGCUGCUGACCUGAAUGUAUUUUUUAUUCGUUUUAAACUGGCAGAGCAAUUUGCCGUUUGGAAAAGCCAAAACUUUUUCUGGCUGCCUGGCUUCUCGGUUUCCUCGCCGUUUAUCUGAAAGCAGACAUUUUUUGCAACGAGCCUUGUUUACAGGAAAAUUACGCUUCUGCACGCAGCGAGGCACACCUUCGGGUUUUCUUGCCGUUGCUUAUCCGUUGAGGACAAACCCGGUUCCUGCUUGCCCACGGGCAACCAGCCAAACGCUCACCAGCUGACACCUCGGGGUGCCUCGCGGGGGCUUCACGUGCCCAAAGGCCCUCCGAGGACCGACCGUGCGACCUCCCCGCGCUGCCAACGCGCACGCCGGCGCAAAACCACCCGGCUGGUGCCGGCGGCGUGCCGCCAGCCGAGGCUGCAGACGGCCGGUGCCUGCCUCCGCCGGGAAGCAGCGAGCAGCCGCAGGCUCCCAGCCCCAGCGCUGCGCCGCCGCUUCCAGAAGCCGCCCGCGCUCUCGUGACUCCAGCUCACCCCUUCCACCGCCGCCCCGUGCCAGCUCGCACGAGGAGCUCGUAAAAGCAGCAGCGUGCUGCAGGCAGCCGAGCUGCAGCCCGGGAAUGUUAUGUAGCCGGUUACUAACGGCGCUUUGCAUAUUGGGUUUCAAACCCGACGUGCUUCUACAUGCUCCACGUCAACAAGGGGAGGGGAAUUGUCAAAGCCGAGGGAAGCCUUCCUAAUGCGAGUUAUUAGCUGUGCAGCGGGCUACCAGGUGCGCUGCGAAGGCCCUGCAGGGCUGUUCCUGCAUCCAUUUCAACCCUUCCCUUUUCGGAACAGCCCCGGUUCCUUUUCCCAUCGUUUUCCCAUCGUUUUCCUCCAGCGCCGGUUUCAUACGCGGUCUGCGAGCGGGCAGGAAUGCCUCGCAUCCGUCAGCGAGACGAGCAGCGGGAACCUGGCAGGUUUCAGAUACCGAGCAGGGAGGAAAAAUAAACACAGGAUAGAUUCUUCUGGGUUAAACCACUUGCCAAUUCAAGGGAAAGCUUUUUUUUUUUUUUCUUUUUUUUAACAAACAGAACAUAUUACAUGAAGCUGUGGGUGUGCUACUCUUACAGAUGCUCUCCGUGAACCAAAAUUUGCUGAAAUUAUUACAGAAACAUUCCACCAUCUCCCAAAAUAAGCAUCUUUGUGUAUCUUUGCCUGGUUAAACGAUGAAAAAACCUGCCUAGCGGAGCAGUUUCCAUUUCCUAGCACACUCCUACCAGGGCUGCGCUCGCAAGUAAACGCACCGACCUUUUCUCAAAGAAAUCAGUGUUUGCCGCUCCUUAGAAAUGUGCAGGGCUCUGGCUCGCUUCCAUUUCACCCACUUCUGAAUGCGGCGCUCCCCACCCCCAGACAACUGCUCCCUCCCGCAGGAUGACGGCUGCCCAAAAGCCCCGGGAGCGCCCCGGCUCCACGGGAGGCUGGGCUGGGGCGACGGACGGAGGGACGGGGAUUUGGGACCCACUUGUUGCAGGGGUGCCUCCCCCGCGGCCGAGCUCCUGCUGACCUCAGAAGCGCCGUUUUUUUCAAGCGCUGCCCUCGCCCCAGCUUUUCCAAGCCAUUAUUUUUGGCACGUUUAAUUCUUUAUUAUUUUCCUGUGAAGGAACUGCAGCUCGAAGCCCUUACGAUCGGUUCUUGCAGUUACUAGAAGGAUCGCCCCGCAGCCUCGGUCUGUUUUUCUGUCACCGCUGAUGUGGUACACAAAGAAUGAGAUUUUUCAAUUUGUUUUGUCUGUGAGCCAAAAAUUCCUUUUAAUGGAUUGAAUGUGGUGCCUGUGCUAGUCUCUCACCGUUCCAGCUCAGCUCUCACUUACAACAGUUACUGCCUACAACGUGGAGCUGGCCUCCUUUCGCAGCAAAAUAAGGCCAAACCAGCUUGAAAGCAUGUUUGGAAUCUGGAGAUUAAUUCCAUGUAAACUAAUGCAUCCAAAUGUCUUUGUACAGCUUCAAAAAGAGCUGCCUGGUCCCGACGAGAAGUAGGGCAGCGCAGGCCCACGCGCUAGGACGGGGAGGUGGCGAGAGCUGCCUCCAUUUUGAAACUCUGCCUGCGCUCGCGACCAUUAGGGGACGAGCGCCCGGCCGGGCGGCCGCACCGCGGUCCUGCGCCCCUGCAGAGGGGCCGGGGCCGAGGUGGGGGGGGGGGGGAGCCCCCUGAAAAAGCCUCCCGAAAAACAAAGGAGCGGCUGAGCCUCCGCGGAGGCGGGUCAGGAGGUCGGGACGGCUCCCAAAGCUGGCCUCUCCCCGGGACGCGGGCGCUUUUGUUCGCCACAAAACGCUGGGAGAAACAAAGCCGCGGGAGGACGGGGCCGGGGGGCUGGGGGGGGGGACGCGCCGCUCGCCGCCUCUGCGGGACGGGCUGGGGGCUCGGGGGCUCGCGGCCCCCCGGCAGCAGGGCAGGCACAGCCCUGGCCAACGGCUCCGUGCUGCUCACCGCCACCUCCCUCCCUCCCUCUCUCCCCGGGAGAUAAAUUAUUCAGAAUGAAACCAUUUUAAACUCUGCUGGGAUGCUGAGCGAAGCUAGCUAAGAUGGGUGGUGCCGCGCAGGAAGCCGCGAGGGACGUUACCAGAAACCCGCGCCUGCUCAUACAGAAAGCGGCGAGCGCGUACGGCGGCGCUGGGCCAGCCCUCGCCACGCAGCGUGCCUCGCCUCGUUCCCACGCCUCGCAGCGUCGCCGGCGUCAGCGGGGAUCCAGCCCGGAGAGCGGCCCCGAAUUUCUGGCGGCCACGCGCUGAGAGCAGCGCGCACGCCCGCGGACAGGCCGCCGGCCUCGUGCGAGGCCCCGCAGGACGCGCACGCUGCUGCCCAGCCGGGGGGUCCCCGGGGUCGCCGCAGCGCCAGCUCCAAGGCAGAGCGAGGUGCUGAGCCUCGGGAACUGUCCUGCAGCCCUGCCCCAAGCCAGCUUCCCGUCUCUCACAGCUCCCACUUCACCAUUAUUUUGAGAACAGCCAAGUGCCCGUAUGCCCACGUUUUCUCCCCGCUUGCACGACAAAAAGCAGCAGGGCACGGUUUGCACCACCGUCGCCCCAACCGGGCGGCGCGAUGAGGGGCAGUGCCCGGAGCCUGACGGCUGCCAAAGCCCCCGCUGGGUGCUGGCACUGCCUGAGCACAGGGAGAAGCGAGGGGCAGUGGGCAGCGUGGGCAGGAUGCGGCCACGCACUGGUGUACGCUCAGCGGGCACCGGGCUGGCACGGCACGCGGCCCCGCCGCACCAAUGUGCCCGGGUCGGAAAAGGGAGCAUCGAGGAAGAGGGAGCUCAGGGAAGAGGUAGUUCAGAAGGCUUUGUGUUGGUUUGUUUUAAAAGGAGGAGACAAAAUAAUUAAACGGCCUGGAAGCUCUUCUACAUUAAGAGUCAGCGCAGCACUAAGCAGCCAGCACUGACAGCUACGGGUGAAGCCCUUUAAGUUGCCAUGGUAGUUGAUGCAGCUGCUCGCCCACUCCUUCUUCAAUAAUGCGGGAUUAUUUUUUUAAUGCAAUUCAACUACAAACAAGCAGACGCUGCUGAAGGGAAAAGUACUUGCUCGCACCACGAGAAACCCUCCGCCCUUCAUCUCUGCCCCAGGCAGGCAGCGGAGGAGCAGGCAGCAGGCAACGCGCAGCCAAGGCAAACACGCAGCGCUCGACUUCGCUCUCACCCUCUCCGGGGAGGGAGGAAAUUUAAGAAGCAGAUUCCAGAUUUCGGCAUCCAUUUCGGCUUCCCUCCCCCUCCCGACCCGUCGCUCCCUGGGCCCCAAGCGGCUAUUCAGCUGCUCCGUCAGCUGAACGCUGCGUUAGCUUCCUCCCUCAAGCCCCAGCCCAGCAAGCCUCCCGGCACGCGAGACGUCGGACGGGAAAGCCAAGUCUUCUCGGGCUGCGCCUGGGCUCCUUUUAAUUAAGCGCGCGGGCAAAGAGCCGCUCGCACAGAAGCGUUGGCUCUGUAAAGCCCAAGCCAGCAGCACCGACGGGGGCAAGUCAGAGCACGACGAGACCCAAACAAAGGCAAGCAAACACGGGCCGCGAGGGAGGAGCAGGAUACAACCGCACUGACCUGCCCAGCUAUUAUUUUCGCAAUCAAGCCGAGGUCUAGAAACUCCUACGGCCAGCGCGGAGGCUUCAGGGGCCCGGGAGCUGCCUUGCAGCGAGCGGCCUGCCCAGCGAAGCCAGCCCUUCCCCACGUGCAGGCAGCGCCUUUAAAGCGGUCACACGCUGGAUUUGGUGGCAGUCGCUUCCAACAGGCAGCGGGGGCUGAGGAGACCGUCCCCAUGGCAGGCGCCCCGCUCCCCGUGGGACCUGCCCGCGGCCCCGCUCGGGGCUGGCGGCACAGGGGUGGCCUCAGCGGCGCGUACCGCUGCCUCCACCCAAACACUGCUCCCAGCUCCUAAUCCAGCAUAAAUCGUUACAGCAAACGCUCACGCUACAAGCCUCCAGGCUCUACCAACAGAGCUGGGCUUGCACGCGGGCUGUGAGAACUGGUUCCAUCAGCCGGAGAAGCCGCGGCCGCGCUCAGGGAGCACGUUCAGGCUUCGUAGGACUGAAGCGAAAGCAGCCCCCCGCUCUGACACCAGCCAGCCCCGGGCAACCCGAACCGGGGAGCACGUUGCCACGCCACAGGCCAGGAGGGAACGGCCACCGGGGACCUCUGGCAGGGGGCAGCUCCAGCCGAGAUGGGGACACACAGCGGUGCCACGGCGCCUUUGUGGCCGUGCCUCGUCGGUGCUAUUGUUCCUUGGCCUCCCCUAAUCGCCGCGCUCUGCCCGCCGCCGCGCUCAGCUGUGGCUCUUUGUGCCUCCCUCCGCCGCCUUCUGCUUCUGUUUGUCCUUUUGAUCCCUGCCUCGCAGCCCGCGCUGCCGCCCCACCCCCUGCCUGCUUUCCACUUUUAUUAGGGUGCGAGGAACAAUGCCUCUCAGCUGCGGGGCUUUGAAGCUGCUCGCGUUACUUACCGAGAGAUCCCCCGUCUCCCACCGAAAUAACGCAGCGUUUUACCUCCACCGAAGCACUCCCUGGUUGUUUCCAGGUGGAAGCAGUUAAAAAAAGCUGCUGGCACAUUAAAUGCAUAAAAACA